CAUUAGAUGACUGAAAAGCAAGUAAUGGUCUCUUAAACCAAAAAAUAGUAAACUAGUAUAUACUU
rnacentral:tRNA from 1 species